ensembl:lncRNA
UUGCAAGAAAGGGUGUUUAUUUACAAGUCCAAAGAACAGGAACAGGACCAUAACAGUAGCCACAAAACAACAGGAACGCAGUCCAGAAAAAACUCCUGUUCAACAGAACAAACCAAAACGCAACCCAAACAAAUGACAGCUACACGAACAAUCCCGCACAAAACCAAGAGGGUAGAGCGAGAUUAAAUACCCCACUAAUAACUUAAACUAGACACAGGUGAACAACAAGACAGACAAAACCAAACGAAAAAGAAAAGGGAUCGGUGGCAGCUAGUAGACCGGCAACGACAACCGCUGUUCGUUGCCCGGACAGGGAGAGGAGCCACCUUCUUUGGAAGUUGUGACAGUACCCCCCCCCUUGACGCAUGGCUCCCGCAACGCGCCGACGCCCGGCCUCGAGGACAACCCGGAGGGCGAGGCGCUGGGCGACCCAGAUGGAGGCGGUGGAACUCACCCAGCAGAGAUGGGUACAAGAUGUCCCCCACCGGCACCCAGCACCUCUCCUCCGGACUGUACCCCUCCCAAUCCAUGAGGUAUUGCAGGCCCCUCAACCGACGCCUAGAGUCCAGGAUGGAACGCACAGUGUACGCCGGGCCCCCCAAAAAUGUCCAGGGGGGGGUGGAGGGACCUCCCGCACCUCAACGUCCUGCAGUGGACCAGCUACCACCGGCCUGAGGAGAGACACAUGAAACAAGGGGUUAAUACGAUAGUAAGGGGGAGCUGUAACCUAUAACACACCUCGUUUAUUCUCCUCGGGACUUUAAAUGGCCCCACAAACUGCGGCCCCAGCUUCCGGCAGGGCAGGCGGAGUCCCUAACUUAAGCGCGAACCCGCUGUCCAUAAAACUCCCCGCCGCGCCUGAAUCUACUAGUGCCUUAUGCUGGGAAUGAGGGGAAAACUCAGGAAAGGAAAUCAACACAUACAUAUGACCAACAGGGAGCUCUGGGUGAGCCUGGUGCUGACUCACCUGAGGUGUCCCAGCAGUGCUCUGCCUGCCCUCUCGACUUCCAGACGAGCUCCUCCAGCACCGGUCAGAAGUGUGCCCUCUCCGACCACAACUGGUGCAGGAGGAGGCUCCUCCUCUGGUCGCCCUAGCUGCAGCCCUCCCUAACUACACGGGUGUCAGACCGGGAGGGCUGGGAGGUGGAAUGAACAGAACCCUAUCUGGACGACCGCGAGCAGCCAGCAAGUUGUCCAGCCUGAUAGACAUGUCGAUCAGUUGGUCCAGAGUGAGGGUGGUGUCUCAACAAGCUAGCUCCCUGCGGAUGUCCUCUCGCAGGCUACACCUAUAGUGAUCCAUCAGGGCCACUAUAGGUGGACCGCGCCGGCAGCUAGGGUCCGGAACUCCAGCGUGGAAUCCUGUGCGCUCCUCGUCUUCUGCCUCAGAUGGAACAGCCUUUCACCCACCACUCUGCCCUCUGGUGGGUGAUCGAACACAGCCCGGAAGCGGGUGAACUCUGGGUAAUGGUCCCUCGCCGAAUCUGGACCCUCCCAGACCGCGGGGCCCACGAGGACGUUGACACUCUCCCCUCCCGAGGGAGUCGGGUGAACGGUCGCCAGGCAAAGCUCCAGCUGGAACAGGAACCCCUUGCACCCGGAAGCCGUCCCAUCGUACUCCCUCAGGAGCGCGAGCCGAAUCCUGCUGGGGCCGGACGCCGCCGGAGAAGGUGGAGGUGCAGGCUGGAGAGUGGCUGAUGACGGGAUAGGGAGGCCGCUCCUCUCCCAUCUCUCCAUUCUCGCCAACACUUGAUCCAUGGCUGUCCCCAGGUGGUGUAGCACGGCUGUAUGCUGGAGGACAUGUUCCUCCAUGGACGGAGAGGGCGCGUCCGCUCCUGCUGACUCCAUGAUUGUGGUGUGGGAUUCUGUCAGUUUCUCCCUUUGAGAGGUGGGUGUGGAGUCAGGUGCAGGAGAGAGCGAAUUGCAAGAAAGGGCGUUUAUUUACAAGUCCAAAGAACAGGAACAGGACCACAACAGUAGCCACAAAACGACAGGAACGCAGUCCAGAAAAAACUCCUGUUCAACAGAACAAACCAAAACGCAACCCAAACAAAUGACAGCUACAAGAACAAUCCCGCACAAAACCAAGAGGGUAGAGCAAGAUUAAAUACCCCACUAAUGACCUAAACUAGACACAGGUGAACAACAAGACAGACAAAACCAAACGAAAAAGAAAAGAGAUCGGUGGAAGCUAGUAGACCGGCAACGCCGAGAGCCGCCCGAACAGGGAGAGGAGCCACCUUCAGUGGAAGUAGUGACAAACUGACCUAAGACAGGGCAUUUUUACUAUGAUUAAAUUUCAGGAAUUGUGAAAACUGAGUUUAAAUGUAUUUGGCUAAGGUGCAUGGAAACUUCGGACUUCAACUGUGCAUUAAUAAUAUGUUAAUAGUUUCAAAUUGACCCCUAAUAUACUAGUUUGAGUUGUUGUUCACCAUAUUGCUUCCAUCUCAUUACCUAUAGUUCAGGUGCCUAGAAUAGAUAGGGAUCGAUUUAGAAUUGGUGGUCGUCACCUUUGAUCGAAGAGGACGUCUGUCUGUUUAAAGCAUGCACCACAUUUAUUUGCAUUUAAAUGCUUCUCUGUUUCUGUAGCAUACUGGUCCACUGAAUGACAUAUAAUUGUGCUUAAUAGUCAUCCCCCUAUAGAAUGAACCCUCUGAAUAACAUAGAACUGUGCUUAAUAGUCAUCCCCCUAUAGAAUGAACCCUCUGAAUAACAUAGAACUGUGAGAGGACGAGAGGGCAGGUGAGGGUAGGGUUAGGGCAAGUGAGGGGAGGGGAGAGGAGGGUAGGGGAGGGCAGGGCAGGUGAGGGUAGGGUAGGGUUAGGGCAAGUGAGUGGAGGACAGGUGAGGUAAGGGGGGGUUAGGGCAGGUGAGGGGGUUAUGGCAGAGGAGGUAAGGGGAGGGUUAGCACAUGGUGAGGGGAGGGCAUGGUGAGGGGAGGGCAUGGUGUGGGGAUUUAGGGCAGGUGAGGGGAGGGGAGGGCAGGGUAGGUAAGGGGAGGGUUUAGGGCAUGGUAAGGGCAUGGUGAGGGGAGUUAGGGCAGGUGAGGGGAGGUGAGGGGAGGGCAGGAGAGGGCAGAUAAGGGGAGGGUUAGUGCAGGUGAAGGGAGUGGGGGCUUAAUGAGGGGAGUUAGAUUAGGUGAGGAGAGUAGGGUAGGUGAGGGGAGGGCAUCGUGAGGGAAGUUUGGGCAGGUGGGGGAGGGGAGGUGAGGGGAGGGGAGUGUUAGGGCAUGGGGAUGUUCUGGCCUCCAUCCCAGAUACCUCUGCUACGGUCUGAAUGGAUCCUCUUUAAGCCAUCUGCAUGCUUCCUAUCCAAAACAGUUUGUGCAUUAUGAUGAUAUUUUGUCACGUUUUUGUUUGUUUUGUUGUUCAGCAAGGGUUUUCUCGACUGUUUGUGGCACGAUAUUUUAUCCUGAGGCAUGCCGAAGUUCGGUAGCCAAAGUCUAGGCCCCUUCGUUGAUUGGUCAACAGUAGGGAUUCUUCAAUUAAGUGUUUGUUGUCAUUCAACGCAUUUUUUCACUUGAGAAAUACUGCACCAAACAUCAAAUUUAGAUGUAAAAUUAUGUGACUAAGCAGCAAAAAUGUCAAAAUUAAUGACAGAUUCAUUCAGACUAUUUUGAGGAAGCAUAUACUGGCUGCAGCGUCUCAAGAGGGACAAACAGUACUAUUGCCGCUUUUUUCUAGUUUUUCAAGCGAACGAUUAAGGGCGUAUGCGAGGCACAGACGUUCACUUCGCCUAGCCGAGUUCUGCUAGGGGCAAACCGAACCUAGUAUGCAGACGCCACCAUGUCCCUAAUUGCCUCCUGGCUAGGGGAGGAGGGGUGGGGGGUGCAUGAGUAAAUGAAAUUAGCACAUCAAAAACAAAUGAAAAUGUGUGUGUACAUGUGCGUGUGUG